rnacentral:rRNA from 1 species
GGAGUUUGGUCCGUGUCUCAGUACCAAUGUGGGGGACCUUCCUCUCAGAACCCCUACUGAUCGUCGCCUUGGUGGGCCGUUACCCCGCCAACUGGCUAAUCAGACGCAUCCCCAUCCCUUACCGAUGAAUCUUUGCUCCUCGUUAGAUGCCCGCAAAGGAGAACAUAGGGCAUUAAUCCGACUUUCGCCGGGCUAUUCUCUACUAUAGGGAAGGUUGGAUACGCGUUACUCACCCGUGCGCCGGUCGCCAUCAAUCAAAGCAAGCUUCGAUCAUGCUGCCCCUCGACUUGCAUGUGUUAAGCCUGUAGCUAGCGUUCAUC